GGGGAUGACAGGCUUCGACGGAAGAGGCUGGUCCCGGAAUGCGAGCCGAGAGGCGCCGACCUCGAAAAAUCAGCGCAAAAAAACAAGUGCCAACCGCACUUCCUAUGCUGCCAUGCCGCUCGCGGCGUAAGCCGUAGCGUGCAGAAGCAGUCGGUCUCCCUGGAGAGGCCGCGUCCCCUCUCCCCGCUCUCUGCCCGGUGGAGAGUGUGGGCGUGAGAAAGGCAGAGUGCCGCGCAAGACGCCGCUACCUGCGCGAAAGAGGGGCUUUCGGGCUCCAGCGGCUGGCGGUUGACGUGGUCUGUCGGUCGAACACGCAACCGCGAGUGAGUCGACCGACUACGCUCGUAGAUUUCCGCGGGCCGAGUCUUUCGGACGCGGGUUCGAUUCCCGCCAUCUCCACCU
rnacentral:tmRNA from 1 species